UAUUAUACUUUACUGAAAAUUAAAAUAUACUUGAGUAGUAAUCAGUUAUGUUCUUGAAACUUAAAGGAUUUGGCGGUAUUUUAGUCUAGUUAGGGGAACCUGUUUUAUAAACGAUAAACCACGAAGGAUCUUACCUUUCUUAGUUAGUUCAGUAUGUAUACCGUCAUUAUCAGAUAGUCUCUAUAGAGAGUUGUUAAAAUAAUAAUAUAUUAGGAUAUUAGAUCAAGGUGCAGCUGAUAGGGGGGAAGUAAUGGGUUACAAUAUUGUUAAGAUAUACGGAUGCUAUAGUAGAAUACUAUGUAGAAGGUGGACUUAAGUGUAAUUUUAUUUUAAUAAGGUGAGGUGAUAUUAGCUCUAUAAUAU
rnacentral:rRNA from 1 species